CAAGUCCGAGGGCGAAGAACUGUA
rnacentral:piRNA from 1 species